AAAAAAAUAUGGUAACAGUGAAGUAUUUGAAUCUUACACAGAAUUACAAAAGGAACACUUAAAUUAAGGUCAAAUAUGUGUAUCAGUUAGUAGCAAUUUAAAAGUUAGUCUGUAAUCUCAGUGCUUGGGAGGCUGAAGCAGAGGAUCCUUGUGAGUUUGAUGCCACCCUGGGCUACAAGGUGAGUUCAAAGCCAGCCUCAACUGUACAGUGAAACCCUGCUUCAAAAAGACCAAAUAAAUAAAUAAAGUUAAUGUGAAAAAAAAAAA